rnacentral:rRNA from 1 species
CCCUUAGAUGUUCUGGGCUGCACGCGCGCUACACUGAAGCGUUCAACGAGUAUUCACCUUGCCCGGGAGGGUUGGGUAAUCUUUUCAAAACGCUUCGUGAUGGGGAUAGAUUAUUGCAAUUAUUAAUCUUCAACGAGGAAUUCCUAGUAAACGCAGUUCAUCAGACUGCAUUGAUUACGUCCCUGCCCUUUGUACACACCGCCCGUCGCACCUACCGAUUGAAUGGUCCGGUGAGAAUUUUGGAUUGAUGUUUCGUCGGGUUAACGCCAGACUUUACGUUGAGAAGUUAUUCAAACCUUACCAUUUAGAGGAAGGUGAAGUCGUAACA